GACGAAGGGGGCUAGCGUUGUUCGGAAUUACUGGGCGUAAAGCGCGUGUAGGCGGUUGCCCAAGUCGGGUGUGAAAGCCUUGAGCUCAACUCAAGAAAUGCACUCGGUACUGGGUGACUAGAGGACCGGAGAGGAUAGUGGAAUUCCCAGUGUAGUGGUGAAAUACGUAGAGAUUGGGAAGAACACCAGUGGCGAAGGCGGCUAUCUGGACGGUUUCUGACGCUAAGACGCGAAAGCGUGGGAGCAAACAGG
rnacentral:rRNA from 1 species